CCACCGCAGAUCUAGUUAACGCCGUUAGCCACGAUUUCCUCCCUCUUUCCUGAAACAAUACCACCCCACACGCUCCACCUGAAGGCUGAAAUCACCGAGCACGGUCAUCUCUCUGAACCACUUCUCCCUGGCCUGGCUUCCUCCAUAACCAGGCAAGGUUGCCCGCCCUUCCGCUUCCUCCUAGUUCUGACCCCGGUGACCUCCAUUGGAGACCGCCCCCAUUCGUCGAUUUCGCACCCUAGCUGCCCUCGUCCCCGGCCAGCUACCGCCCAGAUCUCUGGAUCAUGGAGUCCCUCCGCCCGCCUCAUCUCCCUCCACCGCCGCCGGUUAAUGGAUUUGAGGAGUCUGCUUCUGUACAAAGAUGAGGGCGCUGUCCGUCGGGGCGCAAUGGAUGAGCAUCUGUUCCGUCACCCAUGGUGCUUGACGCCGGGAAGGGCGAGAGGAUGGCGGAACGGCGGGGAUGGCUUUGGUGCGCGAGGCAGCAGACUAGGGACAAGAGACCACGUUAAGGCUGCUAUUGAUUUUCGAUUUGAUUUUUGGAGUGAUCUAGAUGAACAUGUUUGCUGUAGUUCGGAUCUUUAUUUCUCUGUCCUCUUCUUGGAUUUUCCUCUCUCUCUCUCUCUCUUUGUAAUGGGAGCGCUGGUUUCUUGGAUUACUAACGAACUUCUCAUCUGUUUCUAUUUUAGACAAAAUUAGUGUUCAUCUGGAUGACUUGCACGGUUGUUUUGGUGGAUGGCCUUCUCUGUUCUCAGCCCCAUGUGGUUCUCGCGUUCACAGUGCAGCCCGUACCAAGGAGCACGAUGGCUCUACGACCUGCUCAGGCAAACCUCGUCUGGUUUGGUGGCCAGCAGCCGCGUGGAGGGAUUUUUUUCCUGAUCUAGAUUAGCGGAUUUCUUUUUGUUACUUUUUCUUGUCCUGGAUUAGAGCGAGGUCGCCUAUGUUCCCAAUCCAGAUUCCAUGUUGAUUUCCCUGUUCUCCCAAUCUAGAUCGAAAGUUUGUCGUGCGGGUCUUGAUUUUUAUGUGUUCCCAAUCCAUAUUCCAUUGUAAUUGAAACAAACAGUGUGAAUUUUGAUCAGGAUUUGCAUCA